GACAGAGGGUGCAAACGUUGCUCGGAAUUACUGGGCGUAAAGCGCGUGUAGGCGGUCUCGCGAGUCGGGUGUGAAAGCCCGGGGCUCAACCGAGGAAGUGCAUCCGAAACUGGCGAGCUUGAGUAUGGAAGAGGGUCUCGGAAUUCCCGGUGUAGAGGUGAAAUUCGUAGAUAUCGGGAGGAACACCAGUGGCGAAGGCGGAGACCUGGGCCAAUACUGACGCUGAGGUGCGAAAGCGUGGGGAGCAAACAGG
rnacentral:rRNA from 1 species